rnacentral:rRNA from 1 species
GAUGAACGCUAGCGGCAGGCUUAACACAUGCAAGUCGAGGGGUAACGGGGUGCUUGCACCGCCGACGACCGGCGCACGGGUGAGUAACGCGUAUACAAUCUGCCUUGUACUGAGGGAUAGCCCAGAGAAAUUUGGAUUAAUACCUCAUAGUAUAUGGACUUCACAUGAGGCUCAUAUUAAAGGUUACGGUACAAGAUGAGUAUGCGUUCUAUUAGCUAGAUGGUAAGGUAACGGCUUACCAUGGCUACGAUAGAUAGGGGCCCUGAGAGGGGGAUCCCCCACACUGGUACUGAGACACGGACCAGACUCCUACGGGAGGCAGCAGUGAGGAAUAUUGGACAAUGGGCGAGAGCCUGAUCCAGCCAUGCCGCGUGCAGGAUGACGGCCCUAUGGGUUGUAAACUGCUUUUAUACAGGAAGAAACACCCCGACGUGUCGGGACUUGACGGUACUGUAAGAAUAAGGAUCGGCUAACUCCGUGCCAGCAGCCGCGGUAAUACGGAGGAUCCAAGCGUUAUCCGGAAUCAUUGGGUUUAAAGGGUCCGUAGGUGGACAAUUAAGUCAGAGGUGAAAUCCUGCAGCUCAACUGUAGAAUUGCCUUUGAUACUGGUUGUCUUGAGUUAUUAUGAAGUAGUUAGAAUAUGUAGUGUAGCGGUGAAAUGCAUAGAUAUUACAUAGAAUACCAAUUGCGAAGGCAGAUUACUAAUAAUGAACUGACACUGAUGGACGAAAGCGUGGGGAGCGAACAGG